UUUUUCAUAACUUUAUUACACUUUAAGCUGUGUGCGAAGGAUAACAUAUGGUUGAUCUCUUUAAGUGGGAUGUUUCCUCUUGCCAUUUAAAUUCAAUAUCCGAAAGAAAUACUAACUUCAAGGCUCAAAGUGGUUGACUAGGGACUAACUCCUUAUCUCUCCGGUGUUUGGGGAUUUGAAACAAUGCCUUACAUCAUCAGCAAGGUUUUCUUCAAAAGCAUACCAAAACAAUUUUAGGUGUUUCGUUUUCAUCAUCCUCCUUCCAAUCUUUGUUAACACAACAGUCUGAUAAACAAAAAUGAACAAGAGAAGUAUUUUUUUU
rnacentral:lncRNA from 1 species